UGCUUCUCCUUCUCAAUAUCCUCGCUUAGCACUGCCUGAGAAAGCAGAGAAGGGCGCAGGACCCAGAUUUUGCAGACAUUCAGACUUCCAGGGCUGCCCAACACAGUGGCACGAGUUCCAGCCCCGGCAAUCCAGGGAUCCGCCUCGGUGGACGCACCAGAACAGCUGGUUGUAGCCACUCUGGCUGUUUCUCUGCCCCUCUCUUCAGCCUGGGGGUGAAUCGGGAAGGAGCAGUGUGGGAGUAACUGAUCCCUCAUCCACGUUCCUAGUUUUCCUACUCCUGGUGGCUUCACUAUACCCAGCAAAUUAAGGAGGCGGACUCACCUGGCUCCAUAACUACAAAAGGGCACAGUGAGGAGCUCCAGGGAAUCCUGAAAAGAGAGACCAGUCACAGGAGGUUGAGGUCAGGUAGUUGCCCAAGCACUGCAAGGUGGACAUCAGGCCCAGAGGGCUUCCCUUGGACUUCUUGUGAGUGCAGAGGGCCUGGAGAACAAGACCCCAGAAAUUCCCAACGGGUCCAGUGCAUCGUGACCGAGAAGAAAGGAGAAUGUCACACCAAUAAGAUGUACCAAAGGUCCGAUGAGGAGAUUCAGAAACAAAUCCAAGAGCAUUACAGGGCAGAGCUGGAGAGACAGAAAGCGUAGACCCAGGGGAGUUUGAAAAGACGAUCAGAAACCUGGAAGAUAACCUGAAGUAGAAGGGGAGAAGGGAGGAAAUUGGGAAGAUGUGGGAGGAAAACGAGGUGGAGAAGAGGCGGGAGGAAAAUGAGGCAGAGAGGAGGUGGGAGGAAAGGCAGGAGAGGA